rnacentral:lncRNA from 1 species
UUUUUCAGAAUCUAUACGCACAUAUUCUUUCUCAUAAGUUUUUGUCACGUAGCAGCGUCAUAGUCUCCCCUUCUCAAAAUUUCUACUCUUUAAUUAUUACGACCGCUCGCGUUUCUCAUAACAUAUGUCUCUUUGGCUUUUCGUUUCAUUAAUUUCUUUCCCGUAACGUAUAUCUUUUUGGCUUUUCGCCUCAUUAAUUCAUUCUCUGUAACAUCGCUGCUUCGACUUUCCGUCUCAUUAGUUUUUAUUUUCUAAGAGUCGUUGGUCGAG